UACGUAGGUGACAAGCGUUGUCCGGAUUUACUGGGCGUAAAGAGCGCGCAGGCGGUCGUUCAAGUCGAGUGUGAAAGCCCCCGGCUCAACUGGGGAGGGUCAUUCGAUACUGUUCGACUCGAAGGCAGGAGAGGGAAGUGGAAUUCCCGGUGUAGUGGUGAAAUGCGUAGAUAUCGGGAGGAACACCAGUGGCGAAGGCGACUUCCUGGCCUGUUCUUGACGCUGAGGCGCGAAAGCUAGGGGAGCAAACGGG
rnacentral:rRNA from 1 species